GAUGAACGCUGGCGGCGUGCCUAAUACAUGCAAGUCGAGCGAACGGACGAGAAGCUUGCUUCUCUGAUGUUAGCGGCGGACGGGUGAGUAACACGUGGAUAACCUACCUAUAAGACUGGGAUAACUUCGGGAAACCGUAGCUAAUACCGGAUAAUAUUUUGAACCGCAUGGUUCAAAAGUGAAAGACGGUCUUGCUGUCACUUAUAGAUGGAUCCGCGCUGCAUUAGCUAGUUGGUAAGGUAACGGCUUACCAAGGCAACGAUGCAUAGCCGACCUGAGAGGGUGAUCGGCCACACUGGAACUGAGACACGGUCCAGACUCCUACGGGAGGCAGCAGUAGGGAAUCUUCCGCAAUGGGCGAAAGCCUGACGGAGCAAAGCCGCGUGAGUGAUGAAGGUCUUCGGAUCGUAAAACUCUGUUAUUAGGGAAGAACAUAUGUGUAAGUAACUGUGCACAUCUUGACGGUACCUAAUCAGAAAGCCACGGCUAACUACGUG
rnacentral:rRNA from 1 species